AAAUUGAAGAGUUUGAUCAUGGCUCAGAUUGAACGCUGGCGGCAGGCCUAACACAUGCAAGUCGAACGGUAGCACAGAGAGCUUGCUCUCGGGUGACGAGUGGCGGACGGGUGAGUAAUGUCUGGGAAACUGCCUGAUGGAGGGGGAUAACUACUGGAAACGGUGGCUAAUACCGCAUAACGUCGCAAGACCAAAGAGGGGGACCUUCGGGCCUCUUGCCAUCAGAUGUGCCCAGAUGGGAUUAGCUUGUUGGUGAGGUAACGGCUCACCAAGGCGACGAUCCCUAGCUGGUCUGAGAGGAUGACCAGCCACACUGGAACUGAGACACGGUCCAGACUCCUACGGGAGGCAGCAGUGGGGAAUAUUGCACAAUGGGCGCAAGCCUGAUGCAGCCAUGCCGCGUGUAUGAAGAAGGCCUUCGGGUUGUAAAGUACUUUCAGCGGGGAGGAAGGUGUUGUGGUUAAUAACCGCAGCAAUUGACGUUACCCGCAGAAGAAGCACCGGCUAACUCCGUGCCAGCAGCCGCGGUAAUACGGAGGGUGCAAGCGUUAAUCGGAAUUACUGGGCGUAAAGCGCACGCAGGCGGUCUGUCAAGUCGGAUGUGAAAUCCCCGGGCUCAACCUGGGAACUGCAUUCGAAACUGGCAGGCUUGAGUCUUGUAGAGGGGGGUAGAAUUCCAGGUGUAGCGGUGAAAUGCGUAGAGAUCUGGAGGAAUACCGGUGGCGAAGGCGGCCCCCUGGACAAAGACUGACGCUCAGGUGCGAAAGCGUGGGGAGCAAACAGGAUUAGAUACCCUGGUAGUCCACGCCGUAAACGAUGUCUACUUGGAGGUUGUGCCCUUGAGGCGUGGCUUCCGGAGCUAACGCGUUAAGUAGACCGCCUGGGGAGUACGGCCGCAAGGUUAAAACUCAAAUGAAUUGACGGGGGCCCGCACAAGCGGUGGAGCAUGUGGUUUAAUUCGAUGCAACGCGAAGAACCUUACCUGGUCUUGACAUCCACGGAAGUUUUCAGAGAUGAGAAUGUGCCUUCGGGAACCGUGAGACAGGUGCUGCAUGGCUGUCGUCAGCUCGUGUUGUGAAAUGUUGGGUUAAGUCCCGCAACGAGCGCAACCCUUAUCCUUUGUUGCCAGCGGUUAGGCCGGGAACUCAAAGGAGACUGCCAGUGAUAAACUGGAGGAAGGUGGGGAUGACGUCAAGUCAUCAUGGCCCUUACGACCAGGGCUACACACGUGCUACAAUGGCGCAUACAAAGAGAAGCGACCUCGCGAGAGCAAGCGGACCUCAUAAAGUGCGUCGUAGUCCGGAUUGGAGUCUGCAACUCGACUCCAUGAAGUCGGAAUCGCUAGUAAUCGUGGAUCAGAAUGCCACGGUGAAUACGUUCCCGGGCCUUGUACACACCGCCCGUCACACCAUGGGAGUGGGUUGCAAAAGAAGUAGGUAGCUUAACCUUCGGGAGGGCGCUUACCACUUUGUGAUUCAUGACUGGGGUGAAGUCGUAACAAGGUAACCGUAGGGGAACCUGCGGUUGGAUCACCUCCUUACCUGAAAGAA
rnacentral:rRNA from 1 species